UACAGAGGGGGCAAGCGUUAUUCGGAAUUAUUGGGCGUAAAGGGCGCGUAGGCGGCCAGGCAAGUGGAAGGUGAAAUCCCUCGGCUUAACCGAGGAACUGCCCUCCAAACUGCUUGGCUUGAGACCGGGAGAGGUGAGUGGAAUUCCCAGUGUAGCGGUGAAAUGCGUAGAUAUUGGGAGGAACACCAGUGGCGAAGGCGGCUCACUGGACCGGUACUGACGCUGAUGCGCGAAAGCGUGGGGAGCAAACGGGG
rnacentral:rRNA from 1 species